rnacentral:rRNA from 1 species
GUAGGGAAUAUUGGGCAAUGGAGGCAACUCUGACCCAGCCAUGCCGCGUGCAGGAUGACGGCCCUCUGGGUUGUAAACUGCUUUUAUACGGGAAGAAAAAAUACUACGUGUAGUAUACUGACGGUACCGCAAGAAUAAGGAUCGGCUAACUCCGUGCCAGCAGCCGCGGUAAUACGGAGGAUCCAAGCGUUGUCCGGAUUUAUUGGGUUUAAAGGGUGCGUAGGCGGAUCUUUAAGUCAGUGGUGAAAGCCUGCAGCUUAACUGUAGAAUUGCCAUUGAAACUGAAGAUCUUGAAUGUGGUUAAAGUAGGCGGAAUGUAUCAUGUAGCGGUGAAAUGCUUAGAUAUGAUACAGAACACCGAUAGCGAAGGCAGCUUGCUGAACCAUUAUUGACGCUGAGGCACGAAAGCGUGGGGAGCGAACAGGAUUAGAAACCCGAGUAGUCC